rnacentral:ribozyme from 18 species
GGAGGCGCUUGAGAGGAAGGUCCGGGCGCUGGAGGAGAAGCUGGCAGCUCACGAGACGGGAC